rnacentral:rRNA from 1 species
GGGACAUUAACAAGCGAGAGAUAUGAAGGUCUGGCUUCGCGGCCGGCUGAAGUAUUUUUCUUCACCCAUGUCUUUUGCGCACUUGUUGUUUCCUGGCGCGGGUUCGCCCAGUCCACCAGGACCAAACCAUAAACCUUUUCUUUAUGUAGUUGCAAUCAGCGUCAGUCUAAAAACAAUGUAAUUAUUACAACAUUUCAACAACGGAUCUCUUGGUUCUGGCAUCGACUGAAGAACGCAGCGAAAUGCGAUACGUAGCUGUGAAUUGCAGAAUUCAGUGAAUCAUCGAAUCUUUGAACGCACAUUGCGCCCUUUGGUAUUCCAAAGGGCAUGCCUGUUCGAGCUGUCAUUUGUACCUUCAAUGCUUUGCUUGGUGUUGGGCAGUUCUUUGUCUCUCGUUCUCGGGAGACUCGCCUUAAAACGAUUGGCAGCCGGCCUACUGGUUUCGGAGCGCAGCUACAUAUUUUCGCGGCUUUGGGUAAUCAAGCACGCAAAAACACGGACGGUAAUCCAUCACAACACUAACAUUUUCAUUUUAAACUAUUUAGAACCUAAAAUCAAGUAAGAAUACCCACUUACUUUACAUAUCAAUAA